rnacentral:rRNA from 1 species
UACGUAGGGUGCGAGCGUUAAUCGGAAUUACUGGGCGUAAAGCGUGCGCAGGCGGUUUUGUAAGCCAGGUGUGAAAUCCCCGGGCUCAACCUGGGAAUGGCAUUUGGGACUGCAAGGCUGGAGUGCGGCAGAGGAGACUGGAAUUCCUGGUGUAGCAGUGAAAUGCGUAGAUAUCAGGAGGAACACCGAUGGCGAAGGCAGGUCUCUGGGCUGACACUGACGCUCAUGCACGAAAGCGUGGGGAGCGAAACAACGGAUUGAU